rnacentral:rRNA from 1 species
ACGGCUCAGUAACACGUGGACAAUUUACCCUUGGGACCAGGAUAACCCCUGGGAAACUGGGGCCAAUACUGGAUGGAGCAUCGGCUGCUGGAAUGCGCGAUGCUCGAAAGCUGAGGCGCCCAAGGAUAGGUCUGCGGCUGAUUAGGUUGUUGUUGAUGUAACGGAUCAACAAGCCCGCGAUCGGUACGGGUUGUGAGAGCAAUAGCCCGGAGAUGGGUUCUGAGAAGAGAACCCAGGUCCUACGGGACGCAUCAGGCGCGAAAACUUUACAAUGUGCGAAAGCGCGAUAAGGGAACUCUGAGUGCCUCCUAAGGAGGCUGUUCAGGUGCCUAAAAAGCAUCUGGAGUAAGGGCUGGGCAAGACCGGUGCCAGCCGCCGCGGUAACACCGGCAGCUCAAGUGGUAGCCAUGCUUAUUGGGUCUAAAGCGUCCGUAGCCGGCUGAGUAAGUUCCUUGGGAAAUUUGACCGCUUAACGGUUAAGCUAUCAGGGAAUACUGCUUGGCUUGGGACCGGGAGAGGUCAGAGGUACUCCAGGGGUAGGGGUGAAAUCUAUUAAUCCUUGGGGGACCACCGGUAGCGAAGGCGUCUGACCAGACCGGGUCCGACGGUGAGGGACG